rnacentral:rRNA from 1 species
GCAGCAGGCGCGUAAAUAGACCAAUCCUGACACAGGGAGGUAGUGACAAAAAAUAACAAUGCCGGGCUUUUUCAAGUCUGGCAAUUGGAAUGAGAACAAUUUAAAUCCCUUAUCGAGGAUCAAUUGGAGGGCAAGUCUGGUGCCAGCAGCCGCGGUAAUUCCAGCUCCAAUAGCGUAUAUUAAUGUUGUUGCAGUUAAAAAGCUCGUAGUUGGAUUUCUGGUGGGGUUGUCGGCCUGGCUCCGAAAGGGGUCGUGGCUUGUACACACCUUGCCAUCCCGGGGGUAGCUUUGCUGGCAUUGAGUUGUCGGCGGAGUGACGCUCGUCGUUACUGUGAACAAAUUAGAGUGUUCAAAGCAGGCUUAGGCCGUUGAAUACAUUAGCAUGGAAUAAUAAGAUAGGACUUUGGUGGUCUAUUUUGUUGGUGUGCACGCCGAAUUAAUGAUUAAUAGGGGCGGUUGGGGGUAUUCGUAUUCAAUUGUCAGAGGUGAAAUUCUUGGAUUUAUGGAAGACGAACUACUGCGAAAGCAUUUACCAAGGAUGUUUUCAUUAAUCGAGAACGAAAGUUAGGGGAUCGAAGAACAUUAGAUACCUUCGUAGUCUUAACCAUCAACUAUGCCGACUAGGGAUUGGCGGUCGCUUGUUUAGGCUCCGUC